CCACCACCUCACACACACUCUCCUGCACACACACUCUCCUGCACACACACUCUCCUGCACACACACACUCCCACACACACCAUGGCCUGAACAUUACUCUGCUCUCCGAUCCCUGUGGAACAGACAGACGAAGGUUCCUGGUCUUCAUCGCUGGACUGGAACGAGGCUUGAGCAUAUCUUCAGAAAUAUCGCUAAUGCAAGGAGAAAAGAAAGAUGCAUGGGAUGCUGCUCGCUCUUCCUCGGCGCUGUAGACUCUUCUCUUCGAGUAUUUGACAGACUGUGUGUGACACUCGCUCUCAUUGGGUGUCAGUUUGUCAAAUACCCCAAGAGAGGAGUCACUACUCACCCAGAGACCUCGCCCAAGUGUGUGUGUGUGUGUGUGUGUGUGACAAGAUGUUUAUUGAAGGGACUAAACAAGAGAUGGACAGAUGAGUGUAAUUUAUGUUUAUAAUAUAAAAACUCUGAGGAAUGGAGAGAAAGAUGCAUGGAUGUUUUAUGGAUGCAUGAUGGAUGGUUGGAUGGCUGACGGAUGGAUGGACGGAUGAUGGAUGGAUGGUAUAUGGAUGGAUUGAUGGAUGAUAGAUGGAUGGAUGGUACAUGGAUGAUGGACGGAUGAUGGAUGGAUGGUAUAUGGAUGAUGGACGGAUGAUGGAUGGAUGGUAUAUGGAUGGAUGAUGGAUGGAUGAUAGAUGGAUGGAUGGUAUAUGGAUGAUGGAUGGAUGAUGGAUGGAUUGUGUGUUUUUGUUUACAUGUGAGUUGUGAUAUUAGAAAUACAGACACUGGAAUUUUAAUCUCGAGAGCUCACAAAUAAAAAAGAAAGAAUAAAUUGUGUGUGUGUAUGUUUUUGUGUGUGUGUGUGUGUGUGUGUGUGUGGGUGGGUAUCAUUGUUUGUUCUUCGCCUCCUGUGUCACUCGUUGAUCUUUGAUCCCUUGUGGCACACGCACCGUCAUGCCGUUCAUCCAGGGCGCCACGAUCACCUGACACCCGAGACGAGACCUGCCAAUCAGAGCGCAGAUCCAUAAACACACCAGCCAAUCAGGUAACAGGGCUGCUAAUCAUUCAGUCAGUCAGUCAGUCAGUCAGUCAGUCAGUCAGUCAGUCAGGGGUUGGGCUGAUGCUGAAUGCAGAAAUUGGAGUGUGUGUAUAUACGGGGUUUUACGGUAACUACCAGGCGCUCGGAGGGAAAACGCUGCUGCUUGUAAAGAUACUAGAAAAGUUUACACGUUUACUUUCUUUCUUUAAAUUCUGCAAGCGUGUAAACUUUUCUACAUCUACAUUAACACAGACAAGCGGCAGCUCCGCCAUGUUUUUUUCUGAAGUGUACUCGAUAAGUAAACACUUUUAACCAAUCAUGUGACACUUCCUGCAAGUUCUGAUGAAGUGAACCCAGAAUUCUGGACGGUCCUAAAUACGUGCUGAGCAAAUGUGUCCACUGUUGUCACGUUUCAGAUGAUGCAUGCUCGCUAAGUAACUGAACUGAAACGUGAGCUCCUGCCAGUUAACCAAUCAGAUCGCUCUGUGCUGGAGAGUAGCCAAUGAGAGUGAAGCGAACUGGAAGAGAAAUAAUAAUAUUGAAAAGGUGAUUAUUGUCUGUAAGCAGACAUUCACACUACCGGUGUGUUUUGCACUUGAUACGUGAACGAGGCGCUGUGCAUGUUUGCUCAUAUAGAGUUAUUAAAGCAAAUGGACCAAUCAGAUUGCUUUUCUGAAUCAGCCAAUGAGAAUCUUACGUCUUGGUGAGUCCGUAGGCGAGAUCGAGCAUGUCCAUCUCCUCGUCAGCCAUCGGCUCCAAGCGCUCAUACACAGACUCGUCAAAGAUCAGGUGACACGUGGAGCAAGCUAACGUCCCCUCACACGCACCUAACACACACACACACACACACACACACACAGGAGUGUGUUUUUCACACUAUUACACAUUUUGUUUAUCCAUUAGCUGGUCAUGUGACCAUAAUUUAGACGCUUUUAUAAUGAUGAAAAACAGUUGUCAUAACAACCAGAAAUAGUCCAACUGAAGCCACAUUCACUGAAAUGUAAACAACAUCAUGUAAUAAUAAUAAUAAUAAUAAUAAUAAUGAUGUAACACUAAUGCACAUUACAUCAGUUAACAUUAAUAAACUUGAACUGACAUUUAUUUUAAUGUAAAAUACACUUCACCUGAUUUAACUGAUUUUUAAUCCAUUUCUGACUAAACAAAUCAACAUAAAUCACAGAAAUUAAAUAAAAAAUUAAAUUAAAUUACAGACUGUUACUAAUUAUAGCUUUAUAAAUGUAUAAAAUUGAUUUAAAGAUCUUGAUCUCUCUCAGUGCUAAACCAGUCUUGUAUUAUUACAUAUUGUAGUAAUUGGCCAAUUAUGUGGGAAAAUUGUGCACCUGGCAACCCAGCUUAAUUAUAAUGUAGUGAUAACAUCCUAAGCUCUGAAGAAAGCUCAGCUAAUUAUCAUAACUUGAAUAGUUUAUACUGGCACAUAACUAAUUAGUAAUAUACAUGAUGUCUCACACACACACACACACACCAAAUCCGUCGAUUUGGAGGUUUUUGUUGAUGACGAUGUCGAGCAGAGAUUCUCCUUCUGUCGCCGUCACACUUGUCUUUGUUCCACUCUGAUUAACAAAGUGUAGCAGCACCUUAGAGCCUGGAGAACUGGAACACACACAGACACAUACACACACAAACAAUCGCAUUAAAGCCAUAUAAUUCCAAAAUUGUGAAAACAUGCUACCAAUUCUUCUUCUAAAAGUGUUUUUAAAGAAUUUUCCAAAAAGAAAUUGGGAAACAGCGCUGUAGAAAGUGUUGAAAAUAAUACUAUACACACCGUAUUCGACAUGUUUUAUUUGCAAAUGAUUCAAUCCUUUUAAUGACUCACUGAGAUGAACGAAUCCCUUUUGUGCACCUGCUGCGGAAAGGCUUCGCGAUUAUCAAACAGAGACGUUUAUCUGUACAUCGUAUUUACAGCUGCGUGUGUGUCGAACCUGAUCCACGCGCUGAGUCAUUGAAUCUUUUCAGUCAUGGCCAGGAUUCGCUCUUCUCUCAAUCAGCGAAUCAGAUGAUUCAGUGAAUCUGAGAGAUCUGCUCAGGUGUCAUUUAGUGAGUCAGAUGAUUCAGUGAAUGAGAGUUUCACUCCUCUCUCGCUCAGCGAGUCAAAUGAUUCAAUGAAUGAGAGAUUCACUUCUCUCUCGUUCAGCGAGUCAUGAUUCAGUGAAUGUGAGAUUCGUUCCUGUCUUGUUCAGUGAGUCAGAUGAUUCAGUGAAUCUGAGAGAUCUGCUCAGGUGUCAUUUAAUGAGUCAGAUGAUUCAGUGAAUGAGAGAUUCAUUCCUCUCUCAUUCAGCAAGUCAGAUGAUUCACUCCUCUCUUGUUCAGCGAGUUAGAUGAUUCAGUGAAUGAGAGAUUCACUCCUCUCUUGUUCAGCGAGUUAGAUGAUUCAGUGAAUGAGAGAUUCACUCCUCUCUUGUUCAGCGAGUUAGAUGAUUCAGUGAAUGAGAGAUUCACUCCUCUCUUGUUCAGCGAGUUAGAUGAUUCAGUGAAUGAGAGAUUCACUCCUCUCUUGUUCAGCGAGUUAGAUGAUUCAGUGAAUGAGAGAUUCACUCCUCUUUUGUUCAGCGAGUCAGAUGAUUCACUGAAUGUGAGAUUCACUUCUCUCUCGUUCAGUGAGUCAGAUGAUUCAGUAAAUCUGAGAUCUGCUCAUGUGUCACUUACUGAGUCAGAUGAUUCAGUGAAUGAGAGAUUUGCUCCUCUCUCAUUCAGCAAGUCAGAUGAUUCACUCCUCUCUUGUUCAGCGAGUUAGAUGAUUCAGUGAAUGAGAGAUUCACUCCUCUCUUGUUCAGCGAAUCAGAUGACUCAGUGAAUCUGAGAUCUGCUCAUGUGUCAUUUAGCGAGUCAGAUGAUUCAGUGCACGAGAGAUUCACUGAUCUGUCAGUGAGUUUAGUGAUUCCUGCUCUCCAAGAUGGAGUGUGAAAAUAAACACUUCCUAACACACAAACACACGCAUUAUAAAUGAACACAACAGUGAUGAUUAUCUAUCUUUACACUACACGCUGUUUGUUUUCUUCUUUCGACUGACGCAUGAGCAGCCUGUAAGUUUUUGUAUUUUUUAGAUGUGCUUUUUUGUGUUUGUUAAAUUUAAAAGGAUUGUUUCUUUCUUUAUUUUUUAUUGUAUUUUUUUUUUAGAUGUGUACAAUUUUGAUUAGAUUUGUAUUUGUUUGUUUUGUAUGUUUCUUAUGCGUUAGUGUUUAGUGGAUUGCUGGACUGUUUUUCUGGAGCUGUUUUUUUCUGGCUAUUUUCCAAUCCUUUUUUUUUCUCAGUAAUAAAUUCAGCACUCAGAUGCUCCUUU